rnacentral:pre_miRNA from 1 species
AGGAGGAACAGCCCCAGUGGCGGUGCCAGCUCUGCAGCCCUGGCUUCAGCCCCCGCAGGAACUCCGGAGCUCUCCGUCUGCAGGUGGAGGCUCCGGGCGGGG